GACGAACGCUGGCGGCGUGCUUAACACAUGCAAGUCGAACGGAAAGGCCCUGCUUUUGUGGGGUGCUCGAGUGGCGAACGGGUGUGUGACACGUGAGUAACCUGCCCCUGACUCUGGGAUAACUUCAGGAAACUGGGGCUAUUACCGCGGAUGAGCUCCUGCUGCAUGGUGGGGGUUCGAAAGUUGCGGCGGUUGGGGAUGGACUCGCGGCUUAUCAGCUUGUUGGUGGGGUAGUGGCUUACCAAGGCGUUGACGGGUAGCCGGACUGAGAGGGUGACCGGCCACACUGGGACUGAGAGACGGCCCAGACUCCUACGGGAGGCAGCAGUGGGGAAUAUUGCACAAUGGGCGGAAGCCUGAUGCAGCAACGCCGCGUGCGGGAUGACGGCCUUCGGGUUGUAAACCGCUUUCGGCAGUGAAGAAGCGAGAGUGACGGUAAUUGGAAAAGAAGCACCGGCUAACUACGUG
rnacentral:rRNA from 1 species